rnacentral:rRNA from 1 species
AUUGAACGCUGGCGGCAUGCCUUACACAUGCAAGUCGAACGGUAACAGGUCUUCGGACGCUGACGAGUGGCGAACGGGUGCGUAAUGCAUCGGAACGUGCCCAGUCGUGGGGGAUAACUGCUCGAAAGAGCAGCUAAUACCGCAUACGACCUGAGGGUGAAAGCGGGGGACCGUAAGGCCUCGCGCGAUUGGAGCGGCCGAUGUCAGAUUAGCUAGUUGGUGGGGUAAAGGCCUACCAAGGCAACGAUCUGUAGUUGGUCUGAGAGGACGACCAGCCACACUGGGACUGAGACACGGCCCAGACUCCUACGGGAGGCAGCAGUGGGGAAUUUUGGACAAUGGGCGCAAGCCUGAUCCAGCAAUGCCGCGUGCAGGAAGAAGGCCUUCGGGUUGUAAACUGCUUUUGUCAGGGAAGAAAUCUUCUGGGCUAAUACCCCGGGAGGAUGACGGUACCUGAAGAAUAAGCACCGGCUAACUACGU